ACCAGUCAUUCCUCUCCGUUGAAACCUAUCAAAUUCAAAGCAAUCAUGGAAGAAGAAGAAGCAGAUUCAGACCCAUCUUUGGAGGAAGUUAUAUCUGUGAUUUGCAAUGGAGACACAACAGAAGAUCAAGACUUUAGUGAUCAUUCGAACCCUCUUAAAUCAAUCGUUCCUGGAUAUUGCAAUAUUGAAGAUAGCAAAAUCAAAGUGAUAAAGAAUUUGUCAAGGAUUGAAGAUUCACGGUUUUGAUCUCAAUCAAGAUAAAUCACUAUACAUAGCAUUCAUGAUUUUCUAAUUAUGUUCUAUGUGAUUACAUGCUGCAUUAAAUGAGUUUCUCAAAUAAAAGAUAUCUUUGUCUAUGAUUGAUUUGUUUUAAACUCUGAUGCGCAUUUGUUUUGAAAAAUAUCUUAUCUGCCUAAAAUGACUUUGGUUUAAAUUGGAAAAAUUGUGUUUUCCCAAAUUAUAGCAGAUUAGUUGAUUGAUAUAUUUUCCAUAUCAAAACAAAGUGAUAGUUGACAUAUUGUUGUGAUUAUCUUAAACAAAUCAUUAUGUGUUGAUGUGCAUUAACUGAGGGGGAGAAGUCUCUUUUCCAUUAAUAGGUUUUUGAGAAACUGAAAAGGCAGAGUUUUGGAGAAUAGAAAAAGCUUUGAUACAUUGUUUCUGAGUUCAUAUUGUGUUCAUGCUAUUUCUCUCAUCUCUCAUAUGUUUGAUAUGAUCUUCAUUAUUCAUUUGCAUAAGUGAUUGAGAUCAGUGAAGUUGAAAAGAAAAGAAGGCGUGUUCAGUUUCUUCAUAUGCGUAUCAGAUUCAAGGAGAGUUAGAAUAGGGUUAUCAGUUGUAAGGUCAAGUUAGUUUGGAAUACUAGUAAAGUAAUUGUGUUGAAUAUCACUACUUGAUAGAUCUGUAAUCAUUCUUACUUUAUAGUGGAUUUGAUUUAGUGUGGACUACUUUAAAAGUCUCGCAGUGACAUUUCCUCGAGGGAGGUUUACACUGUUGUUAACAAACUUUGUGUUCUUGUGUCUGUUGCUUUUGAU